AAAUUGAAGAGUUUGAUCAUGGCUCAGAUUGAACGCUGGCGGCAGGCCUAACACAUGCAAGUCGAACGGUAACAGGAAACAGCUUGCUGUUUCGCUGACGAGUGGCGGACGGGUGAGUAAUGUCUGGGAAACUGCCUGAUGGAGGGGGAUAACUACUGGAAACGGUAGCUAAUACCGCAUAACGUCGCAAGACCAAAGAGGGGGACCUUCGGGCCUCUUGCCAUCAGAUGUGCCCAGAUGGGAUUAGCUAGUAGGUGGGGUAACGGCUCACCUAGGCGACGAUC
rnacentral:rRNA from 1 species